UACGAAGGGGGCUAGCGUUGUUCGGAAUUACUGGGCGUAAAGGGCGUGUAGGCGGCCCGUUAAGUCAGGUGUGAAAUUCCUGGGCUCAACCCUGGACGUGCGCCUGAGACUGGCGGGCUUGAGGCCGGGAGAGGAGAGUGGAAUUCCUAGUGUAGAGGUGAAAUUCGUAGAUAUUAGGAAGAACACCCGUGGCGAAGGCGGCCCACUGGUCCGGUACUGACGCUGAGGCGCGAAAGCGUGGGGAGCAAACAGG
rnacentral:rRNA from 1 species